rnacentral:tRNA from 1 species
GGAGAUAAUAUAACAGUUCUGCUAAAACUGUAAUCCAUUGAUUAUUUUUAAUGGUAUCUCCU